ACGGAAAAUCCCAAUUGACACCUUUGACAAGCUCAAUCAACUAAUUCUGGAGAAGAACACCGAGAAGGAGAUGCAGAAACUGUCCUCGGAGGAAACCCUAGACGCCAUGGAAGUGACGUCGCCACCAGUGGAGAUAGUCACUGAACAAUCAGAAGUUCCGGAAAGACUAAGUACAGAAACAACAGUGACAACAGAGGCUGAAGAUACUCCAACCUCUCCGACUAUCGCCGAAGCAGGACCCGUGAAGGAGCCGACCAUGCAACCUGAAAUACCAACUGAAGAACAACCAGAGAUUGCCAAAAACAAAGCAGAAGAACCCAAGAAGGCCUGGUCAACACUAUUUCAGAAGAAUCGAUUU
rnacentral:lncRNA from 1 species